rnacentral:rRNA from 1 species
UACGUAGGGGGCUAGCGUUAUCCGGAAUUACUGGGCGUAAAGGGCGCGUAGGCGGUCUUUCAAGCCAGAAGUGAAAGGCUACGGCUCAACCGUAGUAAGCUUUUGGAACUGUAAGACUUGAGUGCAGGAGAGGAGAGUGGAAUUCCUAGUGUAGCGGUGAAAUGCGUAGAUAUUAGGAGGAACACCAGUAGCGAAGGCGGCAUCCUGGACCGACACUGACGCUGAGGCGCGAAGGCUAGGGGAGCAAACGGG